UACGCUAAAACGUCAAACACAUGUGUUCCCAGUUGUUUAUACGCAGUAAAACAUUGGCCUUCUCGUUGAAGGACAUUUCUUAAUUGUCGAGGCUUCUUUAAACAUACAAACGAAAAAAUUGUGUUUGCACAGUUUUUCAUGCCAAAAUCCCAAAUUUAGGUAAAUGACUUAUUUAGUAUAAUCAGGGAAUACAUUAAAUAUAAAGUAAUGCAUUUCUCAAGUGCUGAGUCAGUAGGCCUAUCCAUCUUAAUUUCAUAGAUCCCACCCAUUUUCCUUAGAAUCGCUCAUAGCGCACUUAUAUUGCUAAACUGACUAUUCCAGUUUGUUAAUUUCUCUUGCUUCAACACGAACAAAACCUCCAAUGUCCCUUAUCACCCAGCUGCCAUAUUGGUUAGCUGGUUGGGUAAACCUUCCAGAAUCUUAGGAAACAAUGAAGACUCAAUAGAUUAGUUUUAGUUCUGCGUUUCAUUACCAGCCAAGGGAACUAACCUGUAAUGCCUGAUUUUCUGUUGCGAUGAACGUUUUCGUCUUUCAUCAUCUAUUUUACACACACUUUGAUCCUUGUGUUUCAGACAGAUGUUACAGCACACACAAGGGAAGAAGACAAGACAGGACUCCAGUGGGGGAGCGAGAAUACCCUCAACGAGUCUGCCAGCCAAGGAGGCAUCGCCAAGACUGAAGGGUGCCAAGGAAGUGGAACACACAGACCCACACAACCCACUUCAUUUGAGAAAGAGAAUAAGAUAGCUGUCCAUUUGAGCAUCUUGGAACCAAGUCAUUUCUGUGGCUUGUUGUCAACUCAGUCUGCGUUUUCACACUCGUAAAGUAAGUGCGAUCGGUGCAGCUAAAAAGAGCGAUGUGUAAAACCAACACUAUUGGUGUUCAGUGCUUAAAGCGCUAUUCAUCCCAGCAGGUAGCUUCUCAUAAAGUCUCUAGAUUCAAAGGACUCUUGCUUCCCGUAAAUGUGGCUAUGUUCAUAGGAACUGGGCACCAAGCGUGUGUGUGUGUGUGUGUGUGUGUGUGUGUGUGUGUGUGUGUGUGUGUGUGUGUGAAAUAGCCUGGCCUGUGUGUGUAUUCUUGGUGUGAAUGUGUGUAUGUGUGUGUGUGAGUGUGUAAUCAUUUGGUUGGUCGGUGUGUGUGUGCGUGUGAGAACGCGAGCAGGGGAAAGGUGCUUGCUGCUGGUUUCUGUCUAGCUGGGUUGCCGUGGCGACUGUGUUUAAAUAAAGGGGUUGGUGUGGUUUGGAAUGUAGAGAUAGCGCAAGGCAGAGCCGCACCUCCUGCACACACACACACACACACACACACACACAGACACACACACACACACAAACACACACACACACACACACACACACACACACACACACACACACACACACACACACACACACACACACUAACAGUGUUGAAUACAUAAACAGCACAUUUAUUGGAGUAGCCAAAUAUUCGCCCGGUCUUCUGUUUAUCAAUUGUGUGGUCAGUUGUCCAAAGCUUUGCGAGUAUAGUUUCUGUGUUUGUGAACAAUAGUUUGUGUGCUGUACUGAGAAAAUCCCUCCUACACACACACAAACACACACACACACACACACACACACACACACACACACACACACACACACACACACACACACACACACACACACACACACAAGCCCACCCUGUGUGUGACGUUGUUUCUCCACUCGUCUUCAUGCAGAGCUCCUCUACCUGUCACUACAAGCUCAGGCCCCGGAGAUUAUGAUGAAACGCACACAACACACACGGGGACGUUUGGUUUCAUCACGCAUUAGGAGAACGGUGAGCCGCAUGCAGAGCCCAGGGGAGGAGGAAUGAAUUCCUCCGCAACUUAAGCCAGGCCCUGUUGACACUCAUUACCCGGGAUCACUCAUAACUAUCAUCAUCUCAGAAUGCAAGGUAAUGACCGCCUGCGUUAUCACAGAGAUGUGUUAAUCCAGGGAGUUGUGAUGUCCCGAAGACUAUUGUUUGAAGAUUCUGUAUUGUUGUUGAUUAUUCAGUGGAUGAUGUCAUGAGGGACAAAUCGUUUAGAAGGAAAUAUAAUGAAAGAGACUCGUUAUUUAUAUUUGCAUUCAUUGUUGAUGAAUACAAUGGAGUGGCGUCAAAUUUAUAACAGUACGUUUUUAAAAGAGCAUGCUGUAAAUACAAUAAAAUAAUAAACAUAGGAAAAAAAGUA